AACGAACGCUGGCGGCAUGCCUAACACAUGCAAGUCGAACGAGACCUUCGGGUCUAGUGGCGCACGGGUGCGUAACGCGUGGGAACCUGCCCUUAGGUUCGGAAUAACUCCCCGAAAGGGGUGCUAAUACCGGAUAAUGUCUUCGGACCAAAGAUUUAUCGCCUUUGGAUGGGCCCGCGUUGGAUUAGCUAGUUGGUAGGGUAAAAGCCUACCAAGGCGACGAUCCAUAGCUGGUCUGAGAGGAUGAUCAGCCACACUGGGACUGAGACACGGCCCAGACUCCUCGGGGAGGGAGCGGUGGGGAAUAUUGGCCAGGGGGCGAAACCCUGACCCAGCAUCCCCGCGUGAGUGGUGAAGCCUUUGGGGUUGAAAAGCUCUUUCACCCGGGAUGAUAAUGACAGCCCGGGGAAAAAACGCCCCGCCUACCCCCGUC
rnacentral:rRNA from 1 species